AUUGAACGCUGGCGGCAGGCUUAACACAUGCAAGUCGAGCGGGGAAGGGUAGCUUGCUACCUAACCUAGCGGCGGACGGGUGAGUAAUGCUUAGGAAUCUGCCAUUUAGUGGGGGACAACAUUCCGAAAGGAAUGCUAAUACCGCAUACGUCCUACGGGAGAAAGCAGGGGAUCUUCGGACCUUGCGCUAAAUGAUGAGCCUAAGUCGGAUUAGCUAGUUGGUGGGGUAGAGGCCUACCAAGGCGACGAUCUGUAGCGGGUCUGAGAGGAUGAUCCGCCACACUGGGACUGAGACACGGCCCAGACUCCUACGGGAGGUAGCAGUGGGGAAUAUUGGACAAUGGGCGGAAGCCUGAUCCAGCCAUGCCGCGUGUGUGAAGAAGGCCUUAUGGUUGUAAAGCACUUUAAGCGAGGAGGAGGCUACUAGUAUUAAUACUACUGGAUAGUGGACGUUACUCGCAGAAUAAGCACCGGCUAACUCUGUGCCAGCCGCCGCAGUAA
rnacentral:rRNA from 1 species